CGCCAGAUAUAGUCUGGUCCGUAAGCAAAUCGACUGCCUGCCUGUGUAACAGGCAGGUAAGCUUUUGUCGCGGGGUCCCGGAUCAACCCGGGCUAGAUAGCCACUUAACUAUAUACUUUUUAUAAAAUCUGUGAACUUACUAGGUUGGAUUCUCGCCAGAGAUAGUCUGGUUUCUGCUUCGCAGAUCGCCUACCCGUGACACCUGUCACAGGCAGGUAUGCUUCUGCCGCGGGUCCGUAAGUAAAUCAUCUGUUUCGCAAGGGACGGCGAUUUACCUGUGGAAGAGGUCCGCUAACUAUAUUCUUAGUAUAGUUUGUUCACUAGAUCAAACAUUCUGAAUAAAAACUUAAACUAGUUAAAACUUUCAACAACGGAUCUCUUGGUUCUGGCAUCGAUGAAGAACGCAGCGAAAUGCGAUAAGUAAUGUGAAUUGCAGAAUUCAGUGAAUCAUCGAAUCUUUGAACGCACAUUGCGCCCAUUAGUAUUCUAGUGGGCAUGCCUGUUCGAGCGUCAUUUCAACCCUUAAGCCCCUGUUGCUUAGCGUUGGGAGCCUACAGCCUGCUGUAGCUCCUUAAAGGUAGUGGCGGAGUCGGUUCACACUCUAGACGUAGUAAAAUCUUUAUCUCGCCUAUGGAUGAGCCGGCGCCUUGCCGUAAAACCCCUAAUCUUUCACAAGGUUGACCUCGGAUCAGGUAGGAAUACCCGCUGAACUUAAGCAUAUCAAUAAGCGGAGGAAAAGAAACCAACAGGGAUUGCCCUAGUAACGGCGAGUGAAGCGGCAACAGCUCAAAUUUGAAAUCUGGCCUUCGGGUCCGAGUUGUAAUUUGCAGAGGAUGCUUUGGGCGCGGUGCCUUCCGAGUUCCCUGGAACGGGACGCCUUAGAGGGUGAGAGCCCCGUACGGUUGGACACCAAGCCUCUGUAAAGCUCCUUCGACGAGUCGAGUAGUUUGGGAAUGCUGCUCUAAAUGGGAGGUAAAUUUCUUCUAAAGCUAAAUAUUGGCCAGAGACCGAUAGCGCACAAGUAGAGUGAUCGAAAGAUGAAAAGCACUUUGAAAAGAGGGUUAAAUAGCACGUGAAAUUGUUGAAAGGGAAGCGUUUGCGACCAGACCUUUUCCCAGCGGAUCAUCCGGUGUUCUCACCGGUGCACUUCGCUGGGUUGAGGCCAGCAUCGGUUUCCGCAGGGGGAUAAAAGCCUGGGGAACGUAGCUCC
rnacentral:rRNA from 1 species